rnacentral:lncRNA from 1 species
AUGCUGGAGCUCAACAUCUAUUUGUGGACCAGAGCAGUCAAUUUUGGAGUGUUUCAGGGUCAUAAAGAGAGAAAUGUAAUUUCCCGAGACAACUCAGGGCUAAGUUGCAAAACCUGGGGAAGGAAGUCUAGCAAUACUUGCUGCUGUUUUUACAUUUUGGUCUCAUGUGACCUUCAGGAUGAGCAUCUUCAGGGAAGGAAGGGGUGCUUGGUACCUCUAUUUUUAAAGAGAAUCAAAUGCAUGGCACAUAGGAAGAACCAACUACCUGUUGUGGACCAGACACCGUGUUUGAUGCCCGGCAUCCCAAGAGUGAACAAGUUAGACUUGGGAAUCAUUUCCCCUAAGACUCUGGUCUUGCAGAAAUCCCACAGCAGCUUCUCUUUGAGUUCAGUCAGCUUGUCACCAAAUGCACUGUAUUCUGAGACCUUGCAAUUACUGCGUAAAAAUGGUUUAAUUAAUUAG